GCAUCGUAAUCUCCCACUUUCCAAAUUGUAUAACUAACACACAAUUUCGAUGUUGAAAUAGCAAAUUGGAUGUUGAGUAGUUCAUUUUCAAAGAUACCUUGUCCAAAAUGACUAGAUGAACCAAUGAAUCUAACGGGUGUACCGCUAGGUCCAACAUCCGAAUUGUAACGGAAUAUGCCAUUUGCACAAGGGGCAUCUGAAUUUGGGGACUUACCUAGGUACACAUCACCACCUAACGCACCCCAAAAAGUGGAAAUAAUACGAUAACUCAAACGAGAAUCAAGUUCUUUACCAGUUACGUCAAGUACUGGAGUAGCAUCACUAGGUAGGUUAAUGGGAUUUUGGGAAGUGAAAGUUGAUGAAAACACCACAAUGGGAACCAAACACAAACAUAACAAAAAUAAACACUUCAUCUUGUUUAAGCUACUAAUUUUAUUUGUGUAUUGCUUGUUUGUGACUCCUCUACACUAAUGAAGCCUUCUAUUUAUAGACUCAUCACACUCUCAUAUUCCUUGCCAUGUAUUAAAAAUGACUACAGUUCCUUAUUGUGUUGUUAUUACCCGUAAUUACUUAAAUGGUCAUUCAAUUAUAAUAAAUUUCUUAUCAAAUAUUAUUCAUUUUCUUCGUCUCAGUUUGUGUUGCACUUCUCGAAUUUAGAGGAUUCAAAUAAGAAUUUCUUUGUAAGUAAUUAUUUUUCUAUGUGUUUUAAUAUCUUGAAUUAUUAAAUAUUUGUGAUUUAUAUGUACUUUUUAUGUAUUCUUCAAAUAUGUAUAUAUAUUUUUUUUUUAAAAUUUCAUAUCUAAAUUUACGAUUAAAAUUAAACUAUUUAAUAAAUUUGACACGACGAAUUAAAAUCAUGAUGAAAUAUGUCUUCUUGUAUCAAAAAAUUCGUCAAGUAAGAGAGUUUAUCUAUCGAGUAAAUAUAGCUAGAAACAAAAAGAGAGAAUUAGAUUGAUUUAAAGGUUAAUAUAUAAUUCCCCUUUUGGUCAUUCCUCAUCCAUGUUAACAUUAACCUUCUUAUAAACUGUUGGUUAUUAAGCAUUUUAAUAUUAUUUUAUAUUAAAGUAGCUUUUUUAUUUGACUUAAUGCUGCCAAACCAUUUUUUUGGUCAUGUUAAUGCCAAUUAUUCUUGGCUUUAUUGGUCAGAUGUCAUAUAUCCUAUAACGUUCCAGUGAACGUUGUGGUCAACAUCUUGGGCAGUUUUGCAUUUCCACGUUAGAGGCAUUGGGUUACCCCCUGUCAAUUAUUCCAUUCUUAAUUCCUCCAUUAUCCUUGGUAACCCUAUAUAACUUCUAAGACUAUUAUCUUCACUAUUUUACUACAUCAUUUAUCUUCUUAUUCAUUGCUAGGAAGACUUCUUCUAGUAUAAAUAGUAGUGGUCUUCAUUUGGUUUAUGACACAAGGAAAAUAUAAAGUGCAUAAAGUUUGUCAAAAAAAGAGUUCUUAUUAGUUGAAGGGAGGUGUUCUUUUUUGUGGAGAUUUGGACUCAAAUCUUGUCCAGAGUUGUUGAGUUAUACUUUGUGAAGGCUGUUGUAUCCUGGAGGGGACAAGUCAAAAAGGACUACUGCUCGACCGAUAAAAAAACAUUUGCUGCAGUGAACUUGAAUCUCCUUAAAGAGAGCGAGAUAUCCGCGCCUCAACCAAAAGAGAUUUAUUUCUUCAUUUUUAUUUUCAAUUGUAAUCUUGUAAUUCUGUUAUUUUGUAANNNNNNNNNNNNNNNNNNNNNNNNNNNNNNNNNNNNNNNNNNNNNNNNNNNNNNNNNNNNNNNNNNNNNNNNNNNNNNNNNNNNNNNNNNNNNNNNNNNNNNNNNNNNNNNNNNNNNNNNNNNNNNNNNNNNNNNNNNNNNNNNNNNNNNNNNNNNNNNNNNNNNNNNNNNNNNNNNNNNNNNNNNNNNNNUUUUGUGGAGCUUUGGACUCAACUCUUGUCCAGAGUUGUUGAGUUAUACUUUGUGAAGGCUGUUGUAUCCUGGAGGGGACAAGUCAAAAAGGACUACUGCUCGACCGAUAAAAAAACAUUUGCUGCAGUGAACUUGAAUCUCCUUAAAGAGAGCGAGAUAUCCGCGCCUCAGCCUGAAGAGAUUUAUUUCUUCAUUUUUAUUUUCAAUUGUAAUCUUGUAUUUUUUGUUAUCUUGUAAGUUUUUUCACUAACAUAAACUAAUUCAGAGUGUAUGACUCUAAAAUCUACAUUCCUGCACAUAAUGACCCUACAACCUUGCAUUCCUUACAAUAAUUAGACAAAUAAUUAUACUGUUUCACUUUCACUGUCCUUAUUUCUCCAAUAUUUUCAUCUUUUAUAUUCAUUCUAACAUGAUCGGGUAAGUUUUCCAUCAAGUCCACCGAAACCUUCACUUUUGCACAACUAAGUCGAAUCUUAUUGAUUAUUGUCAUGUCAAGAUGUAAAGGAGUGUCAACUGAUCGAUUAUGCCGAUGAGAAAAUAGAUUCCUUCACAUAGCAUGUGAGUAAAAGAUUUGGAAAUGGAGUCCAAGCCACGACUCUUUUGAAUCUUGAAUGAUAAAUCGAUGGUCUUUAUGAAUUUGCAUGAGAGAGAGAAAAUAUAAUUAGUUCUUCAAAUCAAGCUUUCAAUUUUAUGGGUGUACUUAUACAUAUAGAAUUGGCAUAUUUUAUUUAAUAAACUAAUAGCAUGUUAAUUUGGCCAAGUUUCUGAAUUCUGAAAUCACCAUAUUUUGAAAGGUAUUUUUGGUAAGAAAAAAUCUGCAUUUAGCUAGUAAAUUUUAAAGUAGUUUUAAGUAGCAAUUGGUAUUUGACCAAUUUUGCUAUAAGUGUUUUAAGUGUAAAAAAUUUAUUUAAUUAUUUUUAAUUAUUAAAAGAUGAUUAUUUUUUUUGUAGAAUAGACUUAAAUGAAAAAACUGGUUACAUAAAUUGAUACUCCAUUUGUUUUAAUUUAUUUGAUUUUUUUUUUAGUUAGUCUAAAAAAUGACAUUUUCUUAUAUAAAUAAUAUUUAGUGACACUAUCAAUAUUUAUCUAUAUGGAUCCCACUUAUUUGCCAAACGCUAAUUUGGUACUCCCUCUGAUACAAUACAAGUGACUUGUUAGGAUGUGACAUCCUUAGAAAAUAUAUAAGACUCGUCUAUUUUUCAAUAUAAAAUAAUGUCAAUAAUUCAUUUAUAUUGAGUUAGAGGGAGUAACCCCUAAUAUGUACUUUGCUUUAUUUGUUCCACGUAGGAGAAUAGUCAUAAAACAUGAUUUUUAUGUGCUAUAGAUAAAGUUUUAACAAUAAAAUACUUAACGCAAGAAAAUACACAAAACAUGAUUUGCGUUAAUUGAUAGGAUAAAGACAGGAAAUGGGCCUUACUAAAUCAAUCAACCAAAGUAGAUGAUGACUCUUUCUUUUGAUCACAUAAAAUUAAUAAUAUAUUUUUAUUUCUUCAUAUUUUAUUUGUAAUUGGAGUUUAUUUUUCCUACAUUAAUUUUUUUUUUUGCUAACAAUCUUAUUGUGUAUGCUGAAACAUAUAAGGGUUGUUUGGUAGAGUGUAUUAAAAAAAAUAAUGCAUGCAUUAGCCUUGUGGUACUAGUACCUUGUUUGAUAUUCUUCUCCAACCUAUGUAUAACUAAUGCUUGCAUUCAAGUUUAAGAACGAUCAAAAUCAAGACCAUCAGAUUCAAGAAUAAGCUCGAAGCCCUUGAAUUCAAGUAAACGUCAAGAUCAAAAUAAAGUUCAAGUUCAUCGAAGAUUCAACAACAAGCUUUAAAGCCCUUGAAUCCAUUUUUAUCCUAUUUAGAAAAUUUAGUUUUAACCCACUCUGCCCUACACUCGUAUAUAUGCCUAAACCUGCCCCGUUCCUCAUAUGUGAUAUUAUUAUUUCAUUAUUAGGUAUAAGAUAGUAAACGAUAAGGAAAGACAAUUUAUUAAGAAAGCCAUGCUAAAAUAUAUAUAGAUAUACCUUAGCAGGUGUUUAUUUUACAACAUAACAUAGUAGCUGGCCAGCAGGCAGGCUAAAACAUAGUAUAGUCUAGCUGCAGGCAUUAUUUGUUACUAGACUUCCUGGAAUAAGACAUCAAGAGGAUUUUCGUUGACAAGAGCCAAACGCCUUUUUCCAUUUUGAAUAACUACACCCACUUUUGCACAAAACUGAUCCUCAGGGCAACGUAGACAAAUAAUAGAAGUAAAUGGGCAAGACAAUAAGUUGUAACCAAUUUUUGAUGAUUUAACAAUCUUGAAAUAGCUGUUAUCUGCUUGCCCUAUGGUUCCUCCGGUCUCCAACAACAUCGUCCUAAAAUAUGCAUUUAGAUUUCCGACUUUCCAAAUUGUAUAACUAACACACAAUUUCACUGUUGGAAUAUUGAAUUGUAUGUUGAGUAGUUGAUCUUCAAAGAUAUUUGUAGAUAAAGGAAUGAAUCUAACGGGUGUACCGCUAGGUCCAACAUCGGAAUUGUAACGGAAUACGCCAUCUGGACAAGGGGCAUCUGAAUUUGGGGACUUUCCUAGGUAUACAUCACCACCUAAGGCACCCCUACCAAUGGAAAUAAUGCGAUAACUCGAAUUAGGAUUGAGUUCUUUACCAUUUGUGUCAAGUACCGGCUUAGGUAGAGGAGAUUCACUGGGUAGGUCAAUGAGAUUUUGGGAAGUGAAAGUUGAUGAAAACACCACAAUGGGAACCAAACACAAACAUAACAAAAAUAAACACUUCAUCUUGUUUAAGCUACUGAUUUUAUUGCUUGUGUUUUCUCUAUACUAAUGAAGCCUUCUAUUUAUAGAGUGAUCACACACUCAUAUUCCUUGCCAUGUUUUAAACAUGUAGUGGUCCCAGUAGCUACUCAACCAAUUAUAAUGGAGUAAAUCUUUACCAAAAAUUAUUUAUUUUCUUUCUCGCAAUUCAAGAAUACAAAUAAUUAAGUUUUUUAUCAUAAAAAUUUUCAUAUGUUUUGAAUUAUUAAUUAGUGUGACGUAAAUGUACUUUUUAUAUGGUGUCAAAUAUGUAUAAUUAAAAUUCAUGUCCAAAUUUACUGUCAAAGUUAAAUUAUUUUGACUCUCAAAAUUCGAACGAUUCCUCAUAUUGACCCAGAUGAAAUAUGUUUUCUUUUAUCAAUAAAAUCCGUCAAGUCACAGAGUUUACCUACCAAGUCAUUAUACCUAGAAAAAAAAGAUAAAAAAUAAAGCAACAUAAAUCUCCCUUUUAAAUUUGAUUUCUUUCAACUUACCUCCUUUUCUUUCAAAAAAAUUAUCUUAAAGAUAAAUAAUUUUACCUCUCAAACUUUUACCAAACAAUUUAUAAGGCUCGUUUUGAAUCAUAUAUUUUUUGACUUUUUCUUUAUAAAAAGAAAUAUCUUGUCCAAUAACUAGUGCAAUCUAAAUCUACUUAAAGAAAGAACCUAAUGAGAGUUCUGUAUUUCUUUCUUUCUUUCUUUAUUGGUAGCAUAUUUGUGGAUGGCAAAUAUCCGAAAAUUAAUUAAAAUAUUUUUUUUUAAAAAAAUAAUCAUUCUCUCCAAAACCAAAUAAAAAAUCUAUGAAAAUAACUUUUUCCCAUUUCAUAAUUUUAAUGGAUUUGGCUCCCCUCCAUUUCGUCAAGUACACAUCUAGAUGAGAGACAUGUGUACUAUUUAAUUGUUAAAGGUCAAGAUUAUAUUGCAUUAACUAGUAUCAUAACCAUAGUUAAGUGAAUAAGUUUUGGAAAAAAAUACUCUCCAAAUUUAGUAAGAAUAAUUAAUUCUUCUCAAUUUUUGAUAUCCACUAUCCAUAUAUUUAUAUCAUUAAUUUUAUUUUAUAUUUAAAUAUUAAAAUGAUAACAACGUUUAGUUUGUUUAGCCUAACAGUAGUCUUACAAAAUAUUUUGCCUUUAAAUUGAUGUUUUCUUUUAUUUUAUUUUUUAAAAGAAUUUUUUUUUUGAUACUUUCAAUUGGAAAUCAUAUGGUUGAUAAAUCAGAUGACAAAAACUUAUACUAAAAAACAAAAUAUUAUUAUAUCAAAACUAAUAUAAAGAAAAACAUUGAAACUUUAGAAAGAAUAAAUCUCCCCAUAAACAAGACUCUUGAACGACUACAUUGUGGAUGUUAUUGUUGUUGUGUUAGAAGAAACAAACCUAUAUUUAUAGAGUCCUAAAAUCUUUCCUACUAGAAAAGAACUAGCUACUCCAAAACUUUUUCUUAAAAGGAAAGAAUAAACCAAAUAUGAAAGAAUAUUAUAUUUUCCUUUCAAGAAAAGUAAAAACAUUUAUGGUAAUGUUUUGUCUUUUCUUUAAUGAAAAAUAAAUCUUAAAUUAUGGUAAGAAAAUCUUAAUAAAAUCCUAACAGUGAGGUAAUGUGUUAAAGAAUGACAAAAGUCUCACAUCGGUGGUUAAUGAGAUGGGUGGACUCCUUAUAAGGCUUGUGUAAUCCUCCUCCCUUGGAGCUAGCUUUUGGGGUGUGAGUUAGGCCUAAGACCUAAUUUAACAUGGUAUCAAAGCAGAUCGAUUACUGCUGUAACUGCUUUCUGAUCUAAACACACACUGAUUGUACUGCUCAUCUCGCUGGUGAAGCUAUGGCGAAUGUGGACAAUGAGUUGCCUGAGAAGUUAAGUCACAAUCAUCCUCUGUUUUUACAUACAAUUGACAAUUCUGGAGUAUUACUCAGCUCAAUUCAACUAACCGGAGCUGAUAACUACUAUGUAUGGAGUCACGCUAUGAAGAUUGCAAUUCUAGGGCGUAAUAAGUUGGGAUUCAUUGACGGUUCAUGUAAAAAGGAGGCGUAUGGUCCUAAUUUGACAAAUCUAUGGAAAAGGUGUAAUGCAAUUGUACUUUCAUGGAUUAUGAACUCUGUGUCGAAGGAAUUACUUGGAGGAAUUGUUUACUCCACAAAUGCAACUACUGUGUGGAAGAAUCUCCAAGAACGAUAUGAUAAGGUUGAUGGAAGUCAUAUUUUUCAGCUUCAUAAAGAAAUUGCCACAAUUAGUCAAGGUACAAGUUCAAUUUCAGUCUAUUUUGCUCGAUUAAAUGAACUGUGGGUAGAGUUUGAUAGUUUAGAAUAGUUCCUGCUUGUGACUAUGCAAACUCGAGAGAAUUUGUUAUAUUUGUUCAUAAUCAGAAGUUAUUGCAAUUCCUUAUGGGUCUUAAUGAAUCAUAUGAACAAGCUAGAGGACAGAUCCUGAUGAAGAUGCCAUUACCAUCUCUCAAUAAGACUUAUUUUAUGUUAAUUGAAAGAGAAAGUCAACGAAACAUUUCACAAUCAUCUACUAGCUCGUCUGAGUUGAAUGCUUUGUUCACUAGUCGAAAUCCAACACAAUCAUUGCCUAGGUCAAGACCAUCACACACCUCUACCUAUGAUCCAAAUGCCUUUUGUGAUUACUGCAAACGCACAGGUCAUACUCAAGGUAUUUGUUAUCAGCUUCAUGGAUAUCCCCUUGGGUAUGAAAGGAAGAAGAAAGGACAAUUCUCUACUAACACUGGGAGGGGCAAACCUCAUAACGAAAGGAGACAAUAUCCAGCUGUCAAUAAUGUGGUUAGUGAAUCUGAACACAACCAUAGAUCUAACCUUGAUCACAAUAGAGGUAUGAGUUCAGGGAAUCAUGGUGGAAGCCAAGGAUAUGUGAGUCCAGGGAAUCAUGGUGGAAGCCAAGGUUAUGGGAGAGGAAAUAGUCAGGUUGAUCAAACUGAUUACCAAAGAGGAAUGACUGUCUUACAUGAACAAUAUAACCAGAUUUUAACUAUGCUUGGACAAACUAAUGUACAUGGAGGCACUGAAGGACCAUCUACAUCUUAUUCAAGUGCAAAUUUAGCUCAGGAAUAUCCCACAACAGGUACAACUACUGCACUCACAAGUCAUUCUACUCACACGUACUGGAUUAUAGAAUCAGGAGCCACAAAUCACAUAACACCACAUGCUGAUAUGCUUGUUCAGAAACACACUAUUUCACCAAAUAAUCCUAGAAUUGUACAAUUACCAAAUGGCACCACUACUCAUAUCACACACACUGGUUCAAGUAGUUUGACUAAACAUGAUACUCUCAAUAAUGUUCUCCUUAUUCCAGAGUUUAAGUUCAAUCUACUAUCUGUGUCAAAAAUGACUAAAGACCUGCAAUGUGUUGUGUCUUUCUUUCCUGAAUUUGUUGUCAUUCAGGACCUCUCAAAUGGGCAGGUGAAGGUGAUUGGUAAGGAGCAUGCUGGGCUCUAUCAUCUCCCUUCUCAUACUUACUCCACAAACACACAAUGUCAGUCACAUCUAGCACACACUACUGCUGUUUCUUUUUCAACAGACUCUCAGAUUCAAUUGUGGCAUCAAAGGCUAGGACACAUAUCAUCCAGUGUGUUAGCUCAUACUCUUGAUUUUUCUACCAUUAAAUGUUCUCAUAUUGUAUACACCUGCACCGUAUGCCCUUUAGCUAAGCAACAUAAACUUCUUUUUCCUCAUAGCACUUUCAUUUCUUCUAUUCCUUUCCAGUUGUUACAUAUAGAUGUUUGGGGUCCCUUCAACACUCCCACAUAUGAUUGUAACAGAUACUUUGUUACCAUAGUGGAUGAUUGUACUAGGAUGUUAUGGAUAUUUCUAAUAAAAUCCAAAAGUGAUGUUUGUAUUGUGUUGAAAAACUUCUUUACUUUGGUCAAAACUCAGUUUAACUUUGCUGUUAAAUCCAUUAGAACUGAUAAUGGGUCAGAGUUUGUCAAUACUGAGUGUCAUCAAUUGCUUACCAGUCUAGGUAUUAGUCAUCAAAAGACUUGCAUUCAUACUUUUCAACAGAAUGGGAUUGCUGAAAGGAAACACAAACACAUACUUGAAGUGGCAAGGGCAAUCAAGUUUCAGGGUUAUAUCCCAAUCAGAUUUUGGGGUCAGUGCAUUCUUAGUGCUGCAUACAUUAUCAACAGGUUGUCUACACCUAUGUUACAUGGGAAAUCACCCUAUGAGGUGUUUCACAAGAAGAAACCUUCUCUUUUACAUAUGAGAGUCUUAAGUUGCCUUUGUUAUGCCAAAAACAUGUACAUCACUAAUAAAUUUCACCCUAGAAGUGUGAUUGGUAUUCAUAUGGGUUAUAGUGAUCUUACGAAGGGGUAUUUGUUGUAUAACCUGCGAUAUAAGAAUUUCUUCCUCAGCAGAGAUGUUGAAUUCAGAGAGUCUAUAUUCCUUUUUGCUGUGCCUACAUCUAGUUCCUGGCAAUUAUUUCCCUCUACUAAUAUACCAUCUGGUCAUGAUCUUCGUUAUGAUCCUGGUUCAGUGCCUAUAGAGGAAUCAGAUGUGUCAUCUGUUGUGCCUGUACUUAAAGUUCCUGCUCAGAGGAAGUCUCACAGGAUCAGCAGAGCUCCAUUAUGGCUUUAAGAUUAUGUUGCCUUUGUUCGACUCGGUCCUAUCAAGCCAUUAUACUCCAUUGAUCAGUACAUUGGCUAUGAUAAUUUAUCCAGCUCUUAUAAGGCCUUUCUUUCUUCCUUUGGGACUGAUGUUGAACCUACCACUUUUGAGGAAGCUUGCAAGGACUCUAGAUGGGUUGAGGCAAUGCAGGCUGAGAUAUCAGCCUUGGAGGAUCAUAAGACUUGGCGAGUGGUUUCCUUACCUUCUCACAAAAAGGCUAUUGGUUGCAAGUGGAUAUUCAAGAUUAAGUAUAAGGCUUCUGGAGAAGUUGAGAGAUUUAAAGCCAGACUAGCUGCCAAAGGGUUCAAUUAGAGGGAAAGUUUAUACUACCAUGAGACUUUUUCUCCAGUUGUGAAAAUGGUCACUAUCAGGAGUGUGUUGGCUCUAGCUGCUUCUGAACACUGACAUGUUCAUCAAAUGGAUGUCUCCAAUGCUUUUCUUCAGGGAGAUCUUUUUUAUGAAGUUUAUAUGACUCUGCCUCAGGGAUUUCAACUUCCACAGGGAUUCAUUGUGCAUGGGGGAAACCUGGAUAUAAGCUCAAUAAAUCCCUCUAUGGGUUGAAACAAGCUCCUAGACAAUGGAAUGUAAAACUCGCUGAAGCUCUUAUCAAACUUGGUUUUGUUCAAAGUCUUUUGGACUACUCAUUGUUCAUUAAAAGGACUGGUACAUCACUAGUACUAAUUCUUAUAUAUGUGGAUGAUAUGAUGAUUACUGGUAAUGAUCUUAAACUUAUUCAACACAUCAAAAAGAUCCUCCAAGAUACCUUCAAGAUGAAGGAUUUAGGAGACCUCAGAUACUUUCUUGGGAUUGAAUUUGCAAGGUCACAAGCAGGUACUGUUAUGCAUCAAAGAAAGUACACAUUGGAAAUUAUUUCUGAAGUUGGCCUUGGAGCAGCAAAACCAGCUGCCACCCCUCUUGAUCCUUAUGUCCAGUUGACAACCAGAGAAUAUGAUGAAAUAAAAUGGAAAAGGCAAGGAUGAUAAACUACUUGAAGAUGCUACAAUAAAUAGAAGGUUAGUUGGCAAACUGUUAUAUCUAAAUGUCACAAGACCAGACAUUGCCUUUGCUACACAAACCUUGAGUCAGUUCCUUCACCAACCUAAGUAGUCUCAUCUUAAUGCUGCACUCAAAGUUGUGAGAUACAUAAAAGGACAAGCUGGACUAGGUGUCCUGUUAUCUAGCAAGAGAAACAAUCAACUGAAUGUAUAUUGUGAUUCAGACUGGGGAGCAUACCUACAUACUAGAAGAUCAGUUUCUGGUUUUAUGGUGAAGCUGGGAGAUUCACUAAUAUCCUGGAAGUCAAAGAAACAAGGAACAAUAUCUAGAAGUUCAGCUGAAGCAGAAUAUAGGGGCAUGGCAAAUGUUGUAGCUGAAGUUGUUUGGAUAGUGAGGUUAUUCAAAGAACUAGGUGCUGAUGUUCAAAUUCCUGUGACUAUUCACUGUGGUAGCAAGUCAGCAAUUCAAAUUGCAGCAAAUCCAGUUCUUCAUGAAAGAACAAAACAUAUUGAAUUGGAUUGCCAUUUCAUAAGGGAGAAAAUACAACAAGGAUUAGUGAAAACAAAGUAUUUGAAUACUAAGGAGCAAGAAGCUGAUAUAUUAACUAAAGUCUGGGAAGUCUCAACAUGAAUACUUAAUGUCCAAGUUUGGUGUAUUAAAUCUGUCCAUACCUUCAAACUUGAGGGGGAGUAUUUGAAGAAGGUAUUACAUAGGACCUACAUGUAAUUAGUAAGAGUUUGUAUGUAAUUAAUAGAAGUUAGAGGGUUAGUUAGUAAAGAGUCGGUUAGAUUAGUUACAACAAGAUUCCUACUUAGUUUGUAUAAAUGUAGCACAUUACUGAUUCAUUUGUUUUUCUCUUAAGCAAUGAAGUUCAUUUCUCAUUCUCUCUAAUUCUUCUUCUUUACGUCUAGAACAUUCCUAAUCAAAGGGAACUGUUCUUCAAGAUAUCUUCUUCAAGAUAUCUAACAUAGAAUCCAAUAAAUUCUUCUUAGUAUAAUAAGUAAGCAACAGUUAUAACUCUAGUAAUUAUGACUAAUAACUCUAAUAAAAUGUAUUCUACAUUCUAAAAGUAGAGAGGAAAGAGACAAUAUUUAGGUUCUGUAAUUUUUUGUUGGAUAUGCUAUGUUUAUAACAGAGAUGAAGUUUAUUUUUAUGGUUUACCAAUUCCAAGCACUUGUUCUUUAAUUUGCACAUAAACCUAAUAAAUGAGGGCAACAAAAUUAGAUCAUAAAUGCAUGAUUCACCUUAGUGUAUAUAUUGAUCCCUUCACUUUUUCUUUCCUAUUUUUCAUACGAAAUUUUGUUCACACACCCAACAUUAUAUUUAUGUGAUUCUAUUUUGUUAUCAAAUAUUGUCUUGGUUAAAGUCACCGCAUAUUGUAGCUAGCUAUCAAAUAAGAAAUAAGUCGUAAGGAGUUUUACGUUAUCAUAAUUCGAGAAAUACGUCACUAACAAUCUUAAAAUUAUGGAGAAAUUCAUAGAGAAACAUCAAGGAAGAACAUAAUUAUAUGCACACUAUUUAUUAAUGGGAUAUUUUUCUUCUUCAUAUUUUAUUUGUGCCUGAAAUUUAACUUUCAUAUAUUUAAAUUUGUUGCAAACAACAUAUGUAUAUUGAUCCAUAUGUUGUUGUGGAUUUAACUGCCCUGAACAUACUCCUAAGUCCUAAUAUUGUUAGAAAAUAGCAUUUGAAAGCACAUGAAAUAUAUUUUUCCUAACUUAAAAUUUGUUGCAAACUAACAUAUUGUAUAUUGAUCCCUAUGGUGUUGUGGGUUAAUUAAACUGACCUAAACAUACUCCUAAAUCCUAAUACUUUUAGAAAAUAACAUUUAAAGCACAUUAACUUUGAAAUUUACCCUUAAGAAAAUGGAUUUGCAAGCAACAAUGCUUGCAUUAUCCUUAAGAAAUUUAACCUUAUGAAUAUUGUGCUUAAUUAUUUCUCCUUUUUUUUAAAAAAAAAAAAAACUAAUUAAGUAUUAUUUAUAGAAUAGUUAACUAAUUUGUCCUUUAUUAUGUAUAUUCUUAUUAUAUAUAUAUAUAUAUAUAUAUAUAUUUGAGGAAAAACAAUUUUUUUUAGUUUUUGAAUAUUUUUUUGCUAAUUCUUUAAAAGCACUUAAUUAUGUUCUUCCAAAACAACUUAUUUUUAAAAAAUAAAUAUAGAAGUAUUAUAAGGCUCUAUAUUUAAGCUUAUCCAAACUAUUUAUAAGGCUCGUUUUGAACCAAACAAUAUUAUUCACAAGAACCAAAAAGUGAUCACUCUCAUAUUCCUUGCCAUGUUUUAAACACUAAUAUCUAGUGGUCCUUAGCGUGGUCGUUAUUACAAGUAAAUUAUUUAAAUGCUCAUUCAAUUAUAAUAAAUUCCUUAUCAAACAUUACUUAUUUUUCUUCAUCUCAUUUUUUGUUGCACUUCAUUAAUUUCGAGAAUUCAAAUAAGUAUUUCUUUGUUCGUAAACUUUUUCCUAUAUGGUAUAAACUUUGUGUUAAAAAAAAUGAUUAUAUAAAAUGAUACUGUAUUGAUUUUUACUGUUGUGCUCUUUAAUCAACUAAUAAUGUCCAACAACUUUUAAGGAUGGACAUCGACUAGUCGACUACCACUAGGGAACAAUACGUACUCAUGUUUAGAACGUGCCACAAUUUAAGGACUUACGUACGCCAUACAAAUUAAGGCCCCGUUUGGCCAUGCGAUAUGAUAUCAUAAUAUGGAAUUAUGAGAUGAAAUUGAAGUUUUGUUUGGACAUACGAUAUGAAAUUUUUGUGUUGUAUAUUUUCUCAUAAACAUAAGAAUCUCAUAAGUUGUAAAACUAUUAAAAUAGCCCCAAUUGUUUAUUCAAUCUUACCAAAUAAAUAAAAAUUUAUAAAAUUGCAUAAUAAAUUAUUACAAAGCUAUUUGUUCUCCACUUAAGUAACUGUUUCAUCUAACUUUAAUUCAUCAAACUUUAAUUCAAUAAAAAAUUGAAUAAAUUGUAGUGUACUAGUUUUUAAUAUAAUCUUCUCACAUAGUACGAACAAUUUCCUCAAGUUAAACUUGUAUUUCUCGUUCAUGUGAUCGCGAAGACGAACCAACAUUGUUACUUUGAGCCAUUUGUUGGUCAAUAUCAUCUGCAACUAUAUUUUCAUGAUCAUAGACUAUAAAUAUUUCAUCAGUCCUUUAGUAUUCUCGCAAAUAAUUAUGUAACACUGCACAAGCUAUGACAAUUUUUCACUGCAUCAAUUUUUAUCUGCUUUGUUGUUCAAAUAGAUAUAACUAUAAGUUGUAAUAAAUACAAAACGGUAGAAGCAAUAAAUUUAGGUGUUGGAGUAAAUGAAGAGAACAAAUUUAUUACUCAACAAUCGGUUGUUGUGAGUUAAAGUGACUAUAUGUUUGGUGAGAAUAAUAAAUUUUAAAAAUUAAUGAUAUGAUUAUAAAUUUUAUUUACAUAUGAAAUAAAUGGUUAGUAGAUAUAAAUGUGGGGUUGUUUUGACAAAAUAUAAACUUGUGGAUCAAUUUUUGUAUUAAAAUAUCUCAAAUCAUGAUAUGAAAUUCCCAUAUCAUGAUUUUUGGAGAAUAUGGAAUCAUAUCUCAUGAUAUGGAAUCAUGAGAUGGAAUCAGCGUGAAAUCGCAUGUCCAAACGUUGAUUCCAUCUCACUAUUCCAUAUCGUGAUAUGGUAUCGUAUGGCCAAACACCUACUAAGUAUUUAUUGUUAAUGGUGUUCAAGAUUUAGAUAAAAUUUGAUUUAAACUGAAUAUUCAAACCAAAUAAACUAAAUAAAAGGCUUUAUUUGUGGUUGGAUUUGAUUUGGUUUUAUAUUUUAAAAAACCGAUAGUAUUUGAUUUGAUUUUGAUUUUGAUUUUGUUAAAAAAAAUCAAAGAAAUAACCAAAUUGAACCGAUAAAUUACAUACAUAUGUUUUAUUAUUAUACAUGCAUAAUAUAUUAUUUUUAUAGAUAAUUUUAAAUAUCUUAUAUAUGUUUUCAUCAAAAUUUAUUUAUGAAAGUAAAAACGUUCAAUAUCAGAACAUUUAUUUUAUUGAUUUCAUGUAUAACAGUAUAAGAGUGUAUGAUAUUUUUUUGUGGGACUAGGAAUGUCACUAUCUCUUCCUUCUAGACCAAAAUGAUGAAUUUUGAAACUUUAUUCACAGUAAAUUUAAUGAUCAAAAGUUUUGUAAUGUUAGUCGUCCUAACUAUUUUUCAUUUUGAAUGAAUUUUUUUAAAAAAAAUUUAACUACUGAAUAACCGAGCCAAACUGAACCGAAAUUGAUAUUAACCAAACCGAUAAAUGGAUGUUAUAUUUGGUUUGGUUGGUUUUAUAAUUUAAAAUCGAUUAAAUUAGUUUGGUUUUAAUUUUGACCAAUAACCGAUCAAAACCAACCCGUAAACACCCCUGCUACAAGAAUAAGGUCAUAUACGAUGCAACUACUCCCUCUUUUCACUUUUAUGUUCACUAUUCUGAAAGUAAAUAUUCAUUUUUACUUGUCACUUUUAAUUACUCUUAAUAUUAAUUACUUAUUUACCUGAGGAAAGAAACAUGCGCAAAAAGUCCAAAUAUUCGUGAGUUCCGGAAGGAAAGAAGAUUGUUGUCUUUUUCCCUCUUUUGAAUGAAUUUUUUUAAAUAAUUUUUGUGUAUUGUUAAUAACUGAAUAACUGAGCUAAACUGAAUCUAAAUUGAUAUCAACCAAAUCGAUAAAUAAAUAUUAUAUUUGGUUUGGUUGGUUUUAUAAUUUAAAACCGGUUACAUUGAUUUGAUUUUAAUUUUGACGAAUAACCGACUGAAACUGACCUGUGAACACCCUACUUACGUGAAUAAGGUCAUAUAUGAUGUAUCUACUUCCUUUGUCCAUUUUUAUGUUCACUAUUCUUAAAAUAAAUAUUCCUGAAAGGCGAAAAUAAACUCCAAAUAAUCAUGAAUUAGAGAGAUAAAGAACAUUGGCAUGAUAAAAGAGUUUUAUUUAGAAAGAUACUAAUUAUAGUAGAACAUAGUAGGUGCUUAUGCGCGCACAAAGUAGACACUAAGAGGGAAACGGAGCCCUUGAGAAGGCGUUUGUCUUGUGGCGAGAGCCAAACGCCUUCUUCCAUCUAACACAAUCACCCACACUACUCGACAUUGAUUAAGAGCACAAUUUGGACAUACAAAAGGACCAGGACAAUUCAACAAAUGGUAACCUCUUUCUGCUCUCACUAUUUUAAACCAACUACUAUCUGCUCUUCCUAUCGUUCCUCCACGAGUCCCAAACAAACUUGCCUCUAGUGUUGCAUUGUAUUCUCCCACUUUCCAAUUUACAAAAUUAUCACAAUUCCUCGAACCAACGAACUGGAUGUUAAUGUCUUGGUUUUCAUAGAUGAGAGGUGGUUGUCCUCUACAAGAAUGUUCAAUAAAUCUAAGGGGUGUACCUCUUUGUCCAUCGGAGUUGUACUUGAAGACGCCGUCUGGACAAGAGGCACCUGAAUUUGGGAUGUGACCUAGGUAUACAUGACCACUUAGGACACCUCCGAGAGACGAAGCAAUACGAUAAUUUGAACGAGGAUUAAUUCCUCUACCCAAUGUGUCGAAUACUUGCCUAUUAGAAUUACGAGGAUUUUGGCAAGGGGAAGUUGAUGAAAACGCAACAAACGCAAGCAAACAAAGAGAUGAGAAGAAUAAUAAACACUUGGUCAUGUUUCAGUUGUGACUUGUUUAUACUAAUAAAGCCUUCUAUUUUAUAGAGUGAAGUGCUAUCCUCAUAAUGUCAAUGUCAUGUAUCUAGUGUGGUUUGUAUGUAUCUGAGAUACAUGAGCUACCAUGCUUCAUAAUCAAGAAGAAGAAACAAUAAGGAUUGCUCAACUUCGAGCCUCCUUAAAGUGUUAGCCCUGUAGUCACCGGUAGUCCACUAUACCAAUAUCGUUAUAGAUUUUAGAAACAUUUAUAAAGAGUGAUAAUUAUCUCUAAAAAUACAUAUUUACCGACAAUCAAACUAUUGCCAUUAGUUAAUUGUCACCCCUUUAAUUAUUAUUUGUUUUCAAAUAUGUAUACCAUUAUAUUAUGUGGAAUUAAGUGAGUACGUCGUAACUAAUAUUUUUGCACAAAAACAUUUUUUACUGUUCAAUACUUAGCGACUCAUAUCAAUUAAUCUAAUUUAAUAAUUCAUACACAAAAAAAUGAAAAAAUAGUUUUAAAAUAUGCGAAAUUGAAUGGAUAUACCCUUUUAAAUAUAUAAAUAUACUCAACUAACCAUCGUACUUCAUUGGCACGUUUUACUUAUUCAUAAUCAUUAAUGGUCCCGUUUGCACAGCAUUAUUGGUCCUGCAAUUAGAGCAGAGGAUAAGAAGGCAAAUUUGGGCGCUUCUUCUUGAUAGGUCUAUAUGAUAUGGUCCUUCCAACAAAAAUACAAAUCUCUUAAUUUUUAUACGAGAUAUUUUACUAUUAUGGGUGUAUUUAAUACGAAUGAAAAAGUUUCAUUUUCUCAAUUGAUUACUUAGUUUUUUAAUGGGGUGUGUGGGGUUGUGAGAGAAAGAGAUUGGACUUUGGAGAGUACAUGGGGUGAGAUACUCGUGGAGAGUGGACCAAUAAAUUUUUGUAAGAUUAAAUGUAUUUGAAAGUUUGUAACUAUAAUAUGCAACUGUAAAUAUAUAUCUAUAUAUAAUAGGAGAAGAAAAAAUGUCACAUGUUAGCACCAUAAAUUUUCAAAAUUUUAGAUUAUAAAUAAUUAAUAUUAUAUAACUAAUUAAAUAUUAUAAAUUAGAAAUAAAAUUCACAUGUCAAAAGGGGUGUAAAACACCGAACCACAAAUUGAGUUAAACCGAACAAAAAACCCGACUAGUGGUUUGGUUUGGUAUUGGGAAAAAAACCUCGACUAUAUUUGGGUUGGUUUGAUUUUAACUAAAAAAAACAACUCGAGACCAAACCAACCCGACAUUAUAUAUGUAAUUUUAAAAUUUUAUUUUAUACAUAAAAAUAUUUACAUUGAUAUAAUUUUAAAAUAUUUCUUAUACUAUUUCAUAGUUUUUAUCUUUUAAUAUAUUAUUUCAAGUUUAAAACUUAGAAUUCGGAAUGGUCCAAUAAAGAUUAUAGUUCAUAGAUGUUAAUAAUUAUAAUAAACUUAAAUCAAAAUCAAAUUAAUACUAAUGCAAAAAGAAAAUCAAUUCAACACUAAGAAUGACAAUAAUAUUGAAUAUUUGUUCUUUAGUUUUACAUUGGUUUAGACAAUUAAAAUACAUAAUCUAAUUUUAAUUGUCCUUAAAUAUUUAGUAAUGUAACUAAUACUUAUUAAACUUAUUUUAGCAUGAUUUAGUACUUUUAAAUUAUGAUCAUUUUCAUUAUGACGUUGCAAUAUUUAUUUUUAUAUGAUGAUUUCAUUAUUAUUUUUUAUUGACUAUUUUAGUGUCAUCACGCAUCUCAUAUUUUGUGUUAUUUUCUUAAGAAACACCUUAGAUAAUUGUAUUUUGGUUGGACUAAAGAAACAUUUGAAGCACAAGUUAAUUAUAUGUUUGUAUGCAAACUUUACCGAAAAAAUCCAAAAAUCUGAGGUUUAUUAGUUUGGUUUGAUUUAUAAGUUUAAAAUUAAAUUCGACAAUGGUUUGGUUUGGUAUUUGAAAAACCCAAAAAAAUUCAAAUUUUAUUAGUUUGGUUUGAUUUAUAAAUUUCAAAAUUUUACACAAAUGGUUUGGUUUGAUAUUUGGAAAACCCAAACCAACCCGGUCAUGUACACCCCUAUGUCAAAUAAUAACAAAUGUCAGCAUUUUUAUAAACAAAUUUAAUAUUUUUUUAAAAUCCAAUUUAUAAAUUAGUAAUAGAUUUUUUUUAUUUUAAUCUAGGACAUAUUUACUAUUUUUUUAAAAAUAAUUUAUACACUUUUUUUAAAAAGGCAGUUCUAUAAAUGACAAAUGUCAUCAAAUUAGAUGAACACCGACAAAUGUCAGCACCCAAAAAAAGUGUAUGUUUUUUUUUAAAGUUUAAUUAUAAAUUUGUAAAAAAUAUUUUUUUAAAAAAAUCAUUUAAUCUAGGCUGGUUUAAUAUUUCAAAAAGUAUCCAAUUUAUAAAAUUCAAAUAAAAUAAAGGACAAUCUUAUCUUAUAUAUAUAAAUUUUAAAAACUGAUUGUUAAAAACAAAGAUUACCAUUAGAAAAAAAUUUAAAACUUAUUGUAAAAAAAAAAGUUGAAGACGGUGGAUUCUUAAGCAAUGGGGUAGUUUUUUUUCCCUUUAUUUUUAAAAAUUAAAUUUUAAAACGGUUUGUUAGCAAAUACAAUAUUUACCAUUAAAAAAUAAAUUAAAAAACUUAUUGUUAAAAAACUGUGGAUUUGUAGGAAAAAUGAGGUAGUUUUCUUCCCUUUCUUUUUAAAAAUUUAUUAAAUUGUAUUCACAUAAUAGAAAGAAAAGUCUUUCAAUUUUAAAAAGAAAACGGAUAUCACGUCCAUUAAAAAAAGAAACCUUAAAAUUAGCCACAACAAAAUAUUUGAAUAAUUAAUUUAAAAUUCAAAUUUUAAAUAAUAACUAACCUUAUCCCUAAAAAGAAUCUCAACUUCCUAACCCACAUCUUUAAAAAAAAGUUACUAUUCUUAAAGCAUCAUUCACAUCUUUUUUAACCAAACACUUCAAAAUACGAAUUCAAACAUUUGUAAAACAAAAAUUACAUUCAAACAAAAAAAUUAUUACACUCAUGUGAGAUCAUAAAAGAAAAUGAGGGCAAACAUAGUAGUGUAUUGUGUGUAUUUAUUCCAUUUUUCUUAAUUGUUUGAUUUGAAAUUAUUUUGUUAUGUCUGAUGAAAGGAGAAGGAUCACCAUACUCUCCAAUGCAACAAAGAAAAAGAAGAAACAAAUGAUGAAUAAAUGGAGGAAUUCUAUAUAUUUCAUAGUAGUGGACCAUGUAUGUCAAUCACUAUUUAAAUUUGGUUGGUGUUCUUUAUUUGUGUUAUUUUAAUUUUUUUUAGAUUUCAAUAAGUGUUCCAUUUUUGCAAGAAUAAAAUCAAUAUAAAUAGUAAAUACAUAUCGUUGUAAUUUUUAUAUUCUUCAUUUUCAAAUACUUUAUUAGUUUUAAUAUUUACGUUUUUAAAAUUUAUAUGCAGAUUGUGAUGGUAUACUAUGACCCUAUUGACAUUUGAUUAUUCUUUAGUUUGAUCAUUUUGAUUAUUAUUAUGAUCAUAUAACAUUUGAUUUAUCUAACAACAGUCUCCUCACUUUUAAAGAAAUAUACAUACACAUAUAAUAUGGAUCAUGUAAGCGCAUUUAUGAUUUUGUUUAAUUUAAAAAUAAUUUAAUUGAUUAAUUUUAAACAAAAUGUUCUAAAAUGUAUAAUUUUUUUUAAAAAAAAACAUAAAUUUGAUCUAGCUAUUUCAAAAAAAAAACUGAAAAUGACAAGUGAAGUUUUUUUUUUGUUUGUAAAAAUGUAACCGAAAAAAAUAAGAAAAAUGCAAGAAAGAACAAUAAACAAUUGUUGGUUACACAAGUUUGCUGGUCAAAAUAUGUUCUCUCUAAAUGAAAAGACUACUUUAAAUUAUAUCUUAUCAUGACUUAAUAGUCACAAAUUACUUAAAAUUGAGGUGUCUCUUUUUUAAAUUCCCUUUCAUAUAUGUUUUUUUNNUUUUUUGGACCAGGGGUCCUUUUAUUUAAUCACAACAAUCAAUACAUCAGAUGGCAACUAAGCCCAAAUAAGCAAUAAUUAGAUGGCCCAAAUUAGGAAAUAAGAGACAUGGUCCCGUUUGCACAGCAUUAUUGGUCCUGCAAUUUUUAUGUUUUUUUAUAUGAAUUUUUUUGGACCAGGGGUCCUUUUAUUUAAUCACAACAAUCAAUACAUAAGAUGGCAACUAAGCCCAAAUAAGCAAUAAUUAGAUGGCCCAAAUUAGGAAAUAAGAGACAUGGUCCCGUUUGCACAGCAUUAUUGGUCCUGCAAUUUUUAUGUUUUUUUAUAUGAAUUUUUUUGGACCAGGGGUCCUUUUAUUUAAUCACAACAAUCAAUACAUAAGAUGGCAACUAAGCCCAAAUAAGCAAUAAUUAGAUGGCCCAAAUUAGGAAAUAAGAGACAUGGUCCCGUUUGCACAGCAUUAUUGGUCCUGCAAUUUUUAUGUUUUUUUAUAUGAAUUUUUUUGGACCAGGGGUCCUUUUAUUUAAUCACAACAAUCAAUACAUAAGAUGGCAACUAAGCCCAAAUAAGCAAUAAUUAGAUGGCCCAAAUUAGGAAAUAAGAGACAUGGUCCCGUUUGCACAGCAUUAUUGGUCCUGCAAUUAGAGCAGAGGAUAAGAAGGAAAAUUUGGGUGCUUCUUCUUUACUCACAUGAAAUUCUGAUUUAUCCAUUUGUAAUUGUUUCAAGACAUAAAUAUUUUUCUUUUAAUGAAAAAAUAUCCAAUAUCACUCACGUGGUGGAUAGGUCUAUAUGAUAUGGUCCUUCCAACAAAAAUACAAAUCUCUUAAUUCUUAUAUACGAGAUAUUUUUCUAUUAUGGGUGUAUUUAAUACGACUGAAAAAGUUUCAUUUUCUUAAUUGAUUACUUAAUUUUUUUAUGGGGGUGUGGGGGGUUGUGAGAGAAAGAGAUUGGACUUUGGAGAGUACAUGGGGUGAGAUACUCGUGGAGAGUGGACCAAUAAAUUUUGUAAGAUUAAAUGUAUUUGAAAGUUUGUAACUAUAAUAUGUAAUUGUAAAUAUCUAUCUAUAUAUAAUAGGAGAAAAAAAAACGCUACAUGUCAGUAUCAUAAAUUUUUAAAAUUUAAAAUUAUAAAUAAUUAAUAUUAUAUAAUUAAUUAAAUAUUAUAAAUUUGAAAUAAAAAUUCACAUGUCAAAAGGGGCGUACAAAACCGAACCGCAAACCGAGUCAAACCGAACAAAAAACCCGACUAGUGGUUUGGUUUGACUUGGUUUGGUAUUGGAAAAANNNNNNNNNNNNNNNNNNUCCUUAAAUAUUUAGUAAUGUAACUAAUACUUAUUAAAAUUAUUUUUAGCAUAAUUUAGUACUUUUAAAUUAUGAUCAUUUUCAUUAUGACUUUGCANNNNNNNNNNNNNNNNNNNNNNNNNNNNNNNNNNNNNNUUUAUUAGUUUGGUUUGAUUUAUAAAUUUAAAAUUAAAUUCGACACAAUGGUUUGGUUUGAUAUUUGAAAAACCCGAACCAACCUGAUGUUGAAAAACCAAAAAAAUCUGAAUUUUAUUAGUUUGGUUUGAUUUAUAAAUUUAAAAUUAAAUUCGACACAAUGGUUUGGUUUGAUAUUUGAAAAACCCGAACCAACCUGAUGUUGAAAAACCAAAAAAAUCUGAAUUUUAUUAGUUUGGUUUGAUUUAUAAAUUUAAAAUUAAAUUCGACACAAUGGUUUGGUUUGAUAUUUGAAAAACCCGAACCAACCUGAUGUUGAAAAACCAAAAAAAUCUGAAUUUUAUUAGUUUGGUUUGAUUUAUAAAUUUCAAAAUUUUACACAAAUGGUUUGGUUUGAUAUUUGGAAAACCCGAACCAACCCGGUCAUGUACACCCCUAUGUCAAAUAAUGACAAAUGUCAGCAUUUUUAUAAACAAAUUUAAUAUUUUUUUAAAAUCCAAUUUAUAAAUUAGUAAUAGAUUUUUUUAAUUUUAAUCUAGGACAUAUUUACUAUUUAAAAAUAAUAAUUUAUACACUUUUUUUAAAAAAAAAGGCAGUUCUAUAAAUGACAAAUGACAUCAAAUUAGAUGAACACCGACAAAUGUCAGCACCCAAAAAAAGUGUAUGUUUUUUAUUAAAGUUUAAUUAUAAAUUUGUAGAAAUUAUUUUUUUUAAAAAAUCAUUUAAUCUAGGCUGGUUUAAUAUUUCAAAAAGUAUCCAAUUUAUAAAAUUCAAAUAAAAUAAAGGACAAUCUUAUCUUAUAUAUAUAAAUUUUAAAAACUGAUUGUUAAAAACAAAGAUUACCAUUAGAAAAAAAUUUAAAACUUAUUGUAAAAAAAAAAGUUGAAGACGGUGGAUUCUUAAGCAAUGGGGUAGUUUUUUUUCCCUUUAUUUUUAAAAAUUUAUCAAAAAUAAAUUUAAAAAUGGUUUGUUAGGAAAUACAAUAUUUACCAUUAAAAAUUAAAUUUAAAAACUUAUUGUUAAAAAACUGUGGAUUCGUAGGAAAAAUGAGGUAGUUUUUCUUCCCUUUCUUUUUAAAAAUUUAUUAAAUUGUAUUCACAUAAAAGAAAGAAAAGUCUUUCAAUUUUAAAAAGAAAAAGGAUAUCACGUCCUUUAAAAAAAGAAACCUUAAAAUUAGCCACAACAAAAUAUUUGAAUAAUUAAUUUAAAAUUCAAAUUUUAAAUAAUAACUAACCUUAUCCCUAAAAAGAAUCUCAACUUCCUAACCCACAUCUUUAAAAAAAGUUACUAUUCUUAAAACAUCAUUCACAUCUUUUUUAACCAAACACUUCAAAAUAAGAAUUCAAACAUUUGUAAAACAAAAAUUACAUUCAAACAAAAAAUUUAUUACACUCAUGUGAGAUCAUAAAAGAAAAUGAGGGCAAACAUAGUAGUGUAUUGUGUGUAUAUAUUUCAUUUUUCUUAAUUGUUUGAUUUGAAAUUAUUUUGUUAUGUGUGUUAUUUUAAUUUUUUUUUAUUUCAAUAAGUGUUUCAUUUUUGCAAAAAUAAAAUCAAUAUAAAUAGUAACGAGGAUAAUGAUGAAUACAUAUCGUUGUAGUUUUUAUAUUCUUCAUUUUCAAAUACUUUAUUAGUUUUAAUAUUUACGUUUUUAAAAUUUAUAUGCAGAUUGUGAUGGUAUACUAUGACCCUAUUGACAUUUGAUUAUUCUUUAGUUUGAUCAUUUUUGAUUAUUAUUAUGAUCAUUUUAACAUUUUGAUUUUAUCUUAACAAUAGUCUCCUCACUUUUAAAGAAAUACACAUACACAUAUAAUAUGGAUCAUGUAAGCGCAUUUAUGAUUUUGUUUAAUUUAAAAAUAAUUUAAUUGAUUAAUUUUAAAUAAAAUGUUCUAAAAAGUAUAAUUUAAAAAAAAAAACAUAAAUUUGAUCUAGCUAUUUCAAAAAAAAAAAAACUGAAAAUGACAAGUGAAGUUUUUUUUUUUUUUUUUUUUUUUUAAAAAUUUUGUAACCUGAAAAAAGUAAGAAAAAUGCAAGAAAGAACAAUAAACAAUUGUUGGUUACACAAGUUUGCUGGUCAAAAUAUGUUCUCUCUAAAUGAAAAGACUACUUUAAAUUAUAUCUUAUCAUGACUUAAUAGUCACAGAUUACUUAAAAUUGAGGUGUCUCUUUUUUAAAUUCCCUUUCAUAUAUGUUUUUUUUUAAAAUCGUUAAAGCAAAUGUCACCAAUAUAUAAUAUCAUUAAAGUGUGCUGAAGUCAGAUAGAGCUGAGGGUUCAACUAAAUCUUCUUCGUCAAAAAAUUACACUAUUUAUACAGUGUUAUAAUCAUAUUGUAUUAUUGUAAUGUAUGUAUAUAUAAUAUAAUAUUAUUUUAUUUUAUUUAAUGUCAUGACAAAAAAUAAAUAAAUAUAAAACAGUUAAUGAAACAAAAAGAAGAACAAAAUAUUAAUGAAGGGAUACUUAAAAAUACGUAGGUAAAUUUUCUAUUAAAAAACACAUAAAGUUUGAUAAAUAAAAAAACUAACUUAAAUCAUCCCUAAAAUUCCUCACCCACUUACUUAACUACUCUAAUUUUCAGUUUAAUUAUUUUCUUUAAUCUUUGUUUUGAUAAAUUAUUUAUAUAAAAAUCUUUCAACUAACACUUUCAAAAAACCACUUAUAGAAAAAGACUCAAUUUUAAAAAUUUUUUUAUCUCUACUUCCACUUUAUCUUCUUUUUUCCCCUUAAAAAUAAUUAAAUUCUUACUCAUAAAAUCUUCAAUCACAACGAAAGUCACAAUAUCUAAAGAUCUCAUAUUAUUAGUGUAAUAUUUUUAAUUUAUUAGUUGCUUUUUCCUUAUUAUCAUAACAGAUUUUUUUGAUUAAAAGAAUAUGCAUUAUUUUUAUUUUUUGUAGUGCUUGAAUUCUGGAUGUUGAUGCUAACGAUACCAAUGACAAUAAAUUAAAUUAAAUAAUUUCAUAACACUUAAUAAAUAAAAAUAAAACAAUUAACAAAAAAAAACAUUAAUAAAUAAUAAAGGAAUAGUUAAAAAUACGUAUGUAGAAAUUUUUAUAAUAAAAAAUAGAAAAAUAUUAGAAGAAAAAAAACUAACCUAAAAUUCCUCACCCACCUACUAUCCUAAUCUCUGAAAACUCAAUUAUAUAUUUUAAUGUUCUACCUUCGUAAUAGGAAAAAAUAAAAGUUCCACAUAUAACCUGAAGCAUCACACAAAAAUAAAUAAAUUUUGAAUUUAUAAAAAUAAAUUUAAAUAUUUCAAAUUUAUAUUUUGUUGAAAAAACAUGUCAACAACGUAAAUAUUUUCGAGUUAUCACAUUUCAUCAUCAAAAUAAUUUUCAAAUUUUCAGUUUAAUUGUUUUCUUAAAAAAUUAUGUUAGUGAAAACUUACAAGAUAACAAAAAUACAAGAUUACAAUUGAAAGUAAAAUGAAGAAAACAGAAAUCUCUUCAGGCUGAGGCGCGGAUAUCUCGCUCUCUUUAAGGAGAUUCAAGCCCACUGCAGCAAAUGUUUUCACCGGUCCAGCAGUAGUCCUUCUUGACUUGUCCCCUCCAGGAUACAACAGCCUAAUCACAAAAUAUAACUCAACAACUCUGGACAAGAGUUGAGUCCAAAGCUCCACAAAAAGAACACCUCCCUUCAACUAAUAAGAACUCUCUUUUUGACAAACUUUAUGCACUCUAUAUUUUUCUCUUGUAUGUUGUGUCCCAUAAACCAAAUGAAGACACUACUAUUUAUACUAGAAGAAGUCUUCCUAGCAAUGAAUAGGAAGAUAAUGGUGUAGUAAAUAGUGAAGAUAAAUGGCAUUAGGAGUUACAUAGGUUACAAGGAUAAUGGAGGAAUUAAGAAUGGAAUAAUGAGAGGGGUAACCAAUGCCUCUAACGUGCAUUGGCACAACGGCCAACUUUCCAACGUUCACAGAAAGCAGCAAAGUGCAUAAUGCCUAUGCUCAUUAAUUGACCACUAAGUAAAGAGGUACAAAUGCAUGUAACUCCCACGUCCUCUAUUCCAUCUUCAUAGCAGAAAGGCUAUACUAAGUUUUAACAAAUUAAUAUACAAAAUAUUAAUAUUAAAAUGCUAAUAAACCAACAAUCCCCCACUCAUUUUAAUAUAUUAUCUCAAUUUUUUUUAGGAAACUUGAUAAAUAAUUAUGUACAAAUCUGAUAUUUUUCAUCUUUCAAUUUUUUCUUUGCACUACAAAUAGUUUAUUUUUAUGUGGUAUAAUAUUGAUUUGAUUAUAGUAUUUUUUUUAUAUCGAUAUCUUAAAUUCAUUUUUUUGCAUUCUUAUUCUAUGAAAUUAUGUUUGAUUAAAUGAAAAUCGUCUUAUUAUGCAAGAUUGAACGAGAGAGAAGUAUGCUAAAGGGGUUGCAACAUGCUUUGCAAAUUAUAUUUAUUUUUUAGCUAAAAGUAGAAUCAUAUUUUGAAUACUAGGUUAUAAAUUGAUCUAUGAAUUUAAAUUUUUAUUAAUUAAAACAAAUAUGAUUUCAACACAUGCCACAUAUGCUAUUAAUUUUCAUUAUACUAAAAGAAGAAGAAUUCUUUAGAAUAAUGUUUGGUAUCUUUGAAGAACAUAUCCUCAUCACACAUAGAUUAAGGUAAAUUUUUGUCAGCAUAUAUUAACUGUAUAUAUGUAAAAUCAUAACAUUAUAUGUAAUUAUACAUGCCAUUAGUUAAUUGUCACCCCUUUAAUUAUUAUUUGUUUCCAAAUAUGUAUACCAUUAUAUUAUGUGGAAUUAAGUGAGUACGUUCGUAACUAAUAUUUUAGCACAAAAACAUUUUUUACUGUUCAAUACUUAGCGACUCCUAUCAAUUAAUCUAAUUUAACAAUUCAUACACAAAAAAAUAAAAAAUAUUUUUAAAAUAUGCGAAAUUGAAUGGAUAAAUAUACUCAACUAACCAUCGUACUUCAUUGGCACGUUUUACUUAUUCAUAAUCGUUAAUGGUCCCGUUUGCACAGCAUUAUUGGUCCUGCAAUUAGAGCAGAGGAUAAGAAGGAAAAUUUGGGUGCUUCUUCUUUACUCACAUGAAAUUCUGAUUUAUCCAUUUGUAAUUGUUUCAAGACAUAAAUAUUUUGCUUUUAAUGAAAAAUAUCCAUAUCACUCACGUGGUGGAUAGGUCUAUAUGAUAUGGUCCUUCCAACAAAAAUACAAAUCUCUUAAUUCUUAUACGAGAUAUUUUUCUAUUAUGGGUGUAUUUAAUACGAAUGAAAAAGUUUCAUUUUCUCAAUUGAUUACUUAGUUUUUUAAUGGGGUGUGUGGGGUUGUGAGAGAAAGAGAUUGGACUUUGGAGAAGUUUUUUUAUGGGGGUGUGUGGGGUUGUGAGAGAAAGAGAUUGGACUUUGGAGAGUACAUGGGGUGAGAUGGAGUGGGGUGGAGAGUGAACCAAUAAAUUUUCGUAAGAUUAAAUGUAUUUGAAAGUUUGUAAUUAUAAUAUGUAAUCGUAAAUAUUUAGUAACAAAAUAAAAAUAAAAAUAAAAAUAAAAAUGUGUGAUUUAUUAAUGCGACAUCUAAGAAUACAUAUAGAUAUUGUUUAUGAAUUAUGAUUUAGUCAUUUGACAAGAUUAUAUAAAAGUUAGAGAAAAUUUUAAUAAUUUUCACAAACGAAGGUUUUCACAUUUCAACUUCAUGUCCAAACGGACCCUAUAGUUACAGAUAGACAUUUUAUUUUUUAGAACCAAAUAUUUACGCCCUCUAAAUUAUGGAGAUUCUACACUUAAUUAGACCCCUGUUGAAUUAUAUCUAUAAAUAAUUAAAUAUAUUAAAAUUUAAUUAGACAAACUAAAACUAUAAACAAUAAGACAGUAAUUCUUUACAAAAUUUUAAAAAGAAAUAUUUUUUUAAUUCAUGCCUUUAAUUAUAAAAAAAAGACAUCACUACUCAUUUUUGGGAACAUUUCUCUGUCAAAACUCAUAAAUAAAAACUGAACAUAAACUAUCAAUAAGAUACACCAACUAUUAGUAAAAAAAAUAAUGUAUUUAUAUACGUAAAUGACUUAAAUUUAAGUACUUAUUAUAUGUAAAUUCUUUUUUUUUUUAGUUAUUAGAGUAGUUAUUAUUUCUCUUAAAAAGUAUAUCUUAAAUACACUUAGAUCAUGAAGUUUCAAUGUAUAGAAUUUCUAAAAUGUUUAAAUGUUUUAGAAAACUUGAGAAGUAAAAGAAUAUUUUGGAAAUUUGAGCAUCUCAUUAAUAAUAAAAAUAAAAUAAAAAUUUAAUAUAAUUGAAAAUAUAAGAUUAUUACUGUUGGAAUUAUGACCCCCUUUAUUCUGUAAAGGAACACGUACUAACUACUUGUUCUUUACUGUUUGUGAGUUCUAGUAAAUAAUUUCGUAAAAUAAUAAUUAGUUCACAGCUUUGUAUUAUUUAUCUCAACUCCAAACAACACCAAGAUUACACACCUAGGUAAUCUAAGGAAUUAUAGACUCUAAUUCCUAGCUAAGAAAUUAUAAACUCUAAUUCCUAGCUACCCAAGAUAAAAACCCCCAGGUUUAAGUCUUCUGCUGUCCAUCAAGUUUCUCAAACUUGUUAGAUGAAUUCUACACACACUUGAUUGUAAUCAAAACUCUUAACUACAAUCUUACAACUUUUUCCUCACAAACUCGCAACACUCCCCAAGUAAAUCUCAAAACUCUCUCAAACUCUUGAUUGUGUUUUGAUCUUCUCUCUAUGUAAGUGUGCAAACUUCUUCGAAGAAGUUAAUGCCCUAUUUAUAGAUUAAACCUCCUCAAAGUCUUGUUCAACUCGAAGUUGACUUUGCUACAUCCUCAACUCCUUGUUCAACUCGAACUUGUCUUCAGUUUUCUUUCUUGACUUCUCUUUGAUUUAUUUCCUUCUUGAACUCUUUAUUUACACCCCCUUAUUCCUUCUUUGAGCAUGCUUCCUACUUCUCUUAGGAUUUAUACCUAUGUUUACACUUUGACUUAUUAUGCGCUCCCUUUUCCUUGUAGGACUCCUUUAUAAAAAUGAAACUUUCUUUACUGGUUGCUUGUCAAAAAAGUAAUCCCUCCACUGCUUUAUAACUUCUAAUUCGCGUGAUUGACGUUCUCAUUAUCCCAGUCGGAUUCGGUCUGAAAGAAACAUGUCGCGCAACUAGUUCCUUUCAUCUGUUCCUCUAUUUGCCAAUUAUCAAAAAAUUUCUCGAUCUAACAAAUUCCCCCUUUUUGAUGAUGACAACACAUUGCUUCUUGUGUGAAUAGAUCAAUUUGUGUUAUUUCAGUUUCUUAAAGUACAACACACCAAGCAAACACAUUAGAGGAUCAAGGUAGACCAAUUGGGUUAUCAAUAUUACACAAGCAUGCAAUUCCCCCUUUUGACAUCAUAAAACAUCGUGAAGGCAUACACCACACUAAGAGAAGCAAAUUCGAUACUCAUGGCCACUGGGCUAUCACCUAUACAAACACUUAAAAAUCAAGAACUCAAUUAGCUAUAUAUAGCAAAGCAUUUGCACAAACAUAGGAGAUAGACAUGAACCUGAAACUCAAAUCCAACAUUAACAUUAAUAAAAAUCAUAUACACCACAAAUGUAAUCAAAAUUAAAGAUAGAAUCAAGCACUUGUGAUGAGAAAAAAAUUGGAAAGUUAAAGGCUAUAGUGACUAGGCAAUAGCAAAAGAUCGGGCAUGAGAGGGUAAAUAAAAGUCCUUUUUAAGCGGCUCAAAAAACAUCUUUUGGAUUAACAAAAUUAGUAGUCUUCUCAAUUUUCAGGGUAGCCUUGGUCUUUGUGUUUUAUUUUUCUUUAGCAGGCCUACAUGUUCAGGAUCAUAGUUCAUAUGCAGCUGGUCCAUGAUAUUCUGGUUCGUGACACAUAUGACUUCAAUUUCAGCUUCUUUUUUCCCGUUUUGUAUCACCUUUAAGGAACUGGUUCAAUCAAUCAUGUGCCCUCUGAAGAAACAAUAGUUCACUUAUCUCUAACCCCCUAAAUCAGUAAUCACCUUACCUAAGAGCACUGUCCGCUUCCCAAAGUUCAAACUCUAAUUUCAAUAGAGUCAUCUUUAAUUUCAAUAGAGUCAGUAAGAGGAACAAAUUUUUGUCAGCAUCAUUUGUAGAGGAAUAUGUUCUCUCAAUCUGUUCCCUAGACGUGGUACUAUCAAGUGCAGUACCAACUAUAAUAAUUUUUGACAUCAACCCUAAAUCCCAGUUUAUAUGGAUCCCAAUAAAAGGACUAGGUUCGACAGAGGGGUCUCCCAUUGUUUCCCUCUCACUAGAUGCACCCAAGUUGAGCCUAAAAAGUGAACUUUGUUCAACUAUAGGGUCCCCAAAAUAUUCCCCCUCACAAGGUACAUCCUCUAAAACUUCCUCAGUAAUUUUAGACACACCCAAUACAUAUUCCCCCUAAGAACCAGCACAACCUACUUUCUACACCACAAUCUAUAUUUUAUAAGCCGCCAACGUAGAUGCGUCAUCCACCGAAGUCAUCUCAACCAUAGCAUCAUAUAAACCAGCACACUUAGAAUCUUCAAGAAUGUCAUUAAGAAACAUAAAUUGUAAUUAAUCAAGCAUAGACAUGUUUCUUGAAGAACACUUUAAUCCACAAUUUUUAGAAAAAGAGGAUUUCUUGGUUAAGAAGUUUAUGGAAGAGAAGGGUGUGAGUUGUAGAGAAACACUAGGAUAAGGCUUUAAAUAGGCUUUUUAAGAAGAUGUUUGUUUAGUAGUAUUGAGGACAUGAAUAUAUAUUUUGGGACAAGUGGAAGGAACAGGUACAUGUGCAUUGAUUUUAUAUUUAAUUAUGAAUAAUUGUAGUGCACAUACCUUAGAUCUCUGAAAAAUGCUGAAUUUUGCUCCAAUUUUACUAAGACUCUCUCUUGUGAUAGAUGCAAAUACAAUGUUAUAGUGCAUGAGUAGCUUGGAUUUAAAAGUGGUAUAGAGACAUACAACUAAAUGUACAAGACUGAGCAUAAAAUUCAUGAUUAGAAGGCAGUAUACGAAAUGUUCAUUAGCCACUGAGGGAUACUCAUGUGAUUUUAAUCAUCCCUAAGUUCCAACAUGUUCCUUUAAAAGUAUUUCUUUAGUCUUGCCUACUUUUCCAACUUCUUUGAUUUGACCAAAAAGAAUUUUCACCACAAAAAUUACUAUUUCAUCAUUUUCUUCUAUAGGUGAGAGAAAUUUCUUCUAGUUUCAAUCAUGUGUCUCAAGCAACAACUGUUCAUAUAAAAUGUUGCUUUCUUCCUCUCACUUUUCCAGCAAAUUCAAAGGUUAGAUUAGGAACCCAUACUAUCUUGGGUCCUUUGUAUUAAUAAAAAGGAUGAAUAAGAUCUCUAUGUAUCCAUUUAGGUAGAUUAGAUUUCUUUUGAGUAUACUUGUUCCUUUGAGGUGUCUUAUAGGUGCCUUUUGCUUUAUUGUUAAUGGUGAAUCUGUGUUUUGGGAAAUUUAUCUUAGAGUGACUUGAAUUACCACAGAUGAUGCAUAACAAAAGGUUAUCAAUUCUGGACUGAUCAAAGCCUAUUCCAGUUUUUUGAUUUCGGUGGUUAUUUCCCAGAUGUGAUACAAUCAUAGAUGACUUUGUCCAUUUAUUUGCUUGUUCAAGCUCAUAUUUAGUUCUAGUUAGUUCAGGUUUCAUUUUUGUUGAUUUUUCUCUCUCAGAACAUAAUUUGUUUUUGAGCCUUUUAACUCCAUGAUCAUCUUUUGACUUAUCACAGAUUUUGUCCUUACCUGUUUCUUUGAGUUUUAGGAUUUCGAUUUUAUUGGACAGAUUCCAAGACUCUAGUUGCUGAACUUUUUGUGAUAAAAAGUUGAUUUUCUCUUUCAGGUCAGCAUUGAGUUUUUCAAGAUCUAUAUACUCAAAUUUUAAAUUGGUUAGGGAGGCAAGUAUCUGAUUCUUGGUUUUAACUAGUUCAUGAAUUGUGUCUAUAGAUGUGAGCAUUAAAAAGGAUAUUUUUUCUUAGAGAAAUUUAUUAACUUAUCUUUAAGAUCAGAAAGGUUUACCUCUUUUUCUUCAGAGUCUGAAUCAGGUUCACGUUUCGAUUCUUCUAUGGCCAUCAAGGCAAUGUCAUCAGCAUCGUCUUCAUACAUCUCUGAACCUGUUCCUCAGGCAGCAUACAUAGCUUGCUCCUUCUCUUUGUUAUUUCUUUUGUUUAAAAGUUCCCUCUUCUCCUUUUCAACUCUUUCUUUUCUCCAUUCUACCUCUCACAUAGGACAAACUUAAUUUGAUGAUUAGUUUUUCCACACUUGAAACAUCCUCCACUUUGUGGUUUCUCUGUAUUCUUUUCUUUAGUGGGUGGUACCUUUUUUCAAAAUUUAUAACCCUUUUGAAGAGUUUCUUGAAGUUUCUGAUGAUCAGUUUUAAGUCUUCAUCAUCUAUAUCUGAUUCAUCAUUUUCAGUUGCUUUGAGUCCAAGAUUUUUUUCUUGUUUCCCUCACCUCUUUUGUCAACAUUCAUCUCAUAUGUCUUGAGGUUACCUACCAGUUCAUCCAAAGUCAUAUUGGUUAAAUCCUUGGCUUCUCUGAUUGCAGUGACUUUUAUUUCCCAUGAUCUAGGCAAGGUCCUAAGCACUUUGUCUACUUGUUCCUAAGUGGUGUAUACUUUUCCCAAGGAGAUUAGCUCGUUUACUACAGUAGUGAAUCUAGUGAUCAUAUCUUAAAGCGAUUCACCGGAUUUCAUCUUGAAGGCUUCAUAUUCGGAGCAUAGCCUAGCAAUUCUAAAUUUUCGAACUUGAGUUGUACCUUCAUGAACAUUCUGUAGAGUAUCCCAUAUUUGUUUCGCGGAGGUACAACGUGAGAUGCGAUUAAACUCAUCAGGUCCAAGUCCACAUACAAAUAUGCAUUUGCCUUUGCAUUUUUUCCCAGCAUCUUGUAGUCAGCUUCUCCAUAUUUUUCUUUAGGUUUUGAAACAUCGUUUCCUUCAUUAUUCUUAACGGUAGGGAUUAAAGGCCCAUCAGUGAUUCUGACCUGUAACAACCCAGAAAUUUUUUGAACUAAGACUUGAACCAUCAUUCGUUGUGAGUAGGAUUUUACCGAGGAAUUAAAAUUUCUUAAGUGUUAAGUUCACUAGAUAUAGCACCUUGAGUUCGAAAAAGAACUAAAUUGGAAAUAGCAAAAAUCUGAAAUUUUGCAAGUUAAGCUAAGUAUGAGUUUUGGGUCGACUUAAAACGAUCAUAACUCCUAGCUCAGGAUGAGUUAGGUGUUCUAUCAGAUACCGUAGGAAAGAUCUUUGAAUUAUAUUUUCAACGCCACCGAGUUUUCUAAGUUUCGAGUUCAGAUGAGUGAGAUAUGACCUUUCGAAGUUAGGAUGUCCAGUUAAGGAAGGUUAGCCGGAAAUAGUGAGGGGUAUUCUGGUCUUUUCCGUACCCAAUCAGAUUUAAUUCAUUUUUAGUAAUAUUUUAGGGGUCUAAUAUGAUUAUGUUCAGUUUUAUAAUCCUAAAAUAUGCCUAGGGUUUUAGUUGAGAGUUGAAGAAGAGAAAAGAAGAGAAAAAGAGGAGAAAAGAGAAGAGGAUCAAGCAUUCGUCGAGAUUCUUGCGUGUUGUAGCGGAUUUUCACCAUGGGUUUGAUCCCUAAGAGGUAUGUAAGCUUCCAUAGUGUUGGGUUUGUUCACCCAUACGCCAAACAUGUUAUUUUCAGCGCAAAUUUCAUUCUUGAAGUCGAAAGAUUUGAGUUCUUCAUGAGUUCUUGAUAGGUGUAUUCUAAAUCUUGUUGUGUUGGGUUUUUUAUGAUUUCUUGAGAUCAAAGUGAGUGUUUUAAGGGCUGUAUUGAGUAUAUUAAAGUGUACUCAUGUUAAGUAAUCGAAUCCAAGUGAUUGGGGAAGAACCCGUUCAAUUCUAGGCGAGUUAGGGUGAGAAAACGAGCAAGGAAAAUUCAUCGAAUUUUCUGGGUUGGGGUCUGGCGCGAGAGCGCCCCAAACCCUCCUUUGAAGUUUAGGGGAUGGCGCCCCGCGCCACCCAUAGUACCAAGGUCGCCUGCCCCAUUCAGUUUGGCGUCGAUUGCCCCGUUUGAGUUCGUUUAAAGUGCACCUUCACUCCUUUUCGAUUCUAACUAUUCUAAGAUACUUCUAAACACCUAAAAUUAUUCCUAACAUGAUCAUAACCUUGAAUUCAUAAUUCAAAUUCAAGGUAGAGUUGAUAGUUAAGUUUUGAGAAUUCUUUCGAACAUUUUAAGAAAGUCCCUUUGAGUCCUUUUGUGGAGUCUUCUACAUCUUCUAGUAACUUGUUUCAAGACUCGAGUUAGUGAGCAUGAGAGUGAGGAGAAUGUAUUCAUGAGUCUACACUAUCAUCUAUAUAUUUCAUAUCAUGAACCAUAACUCUUGAAUUCAUAAUUCACAUUCAAAAGAGAGUUAAUUGUAGAGUUCAAGAAAGCCCUUGAGUUCAAUUGUGAAUCCUUUGAAAUCAACUAUCGAUUUGAACUAAGUUUGAGGUAGUAAGUAAGAUAAUGAGAAUUGUCGUAUACAUGAGUUCCAUGUAGUUGUGUAGACUUUCGAGUCGAGUCGUUCAUGCCCAUAAAUUCCGCAUGAACUCCAAAAAUUGAGUAUCUAUGAGAGAAGUAAUAUCUUAAUGUCCUAAGUCUUAAGUAUUGAGUUCCUAACCCUUCCGAGAUUAUAAUCCUUCGGAAUUGAGCAUUCUUGAAGUGAGUAGUAUCAUUGAAGUUCUUGAGUUCCAAGUAUUGAGUUCUAUCUAUGGUUAUUGAAAACCUUGCAUCGAGUCGUUCACGUNNNNNNNNNNNNNNNNNNNNNNNNNNNNNNNNUUUUACAAACGUUUAACUUUGUUUUAAGACUUAAGUUUUGAGUUCAGUAAAGAGUAAAGUUGAAGUUCUUUUCUUCAAAAUGUAUAUAGGGACUAAGUAUUGCCAAAGAGAUUUAAAAUGUUUUCACAUUUAAAUAAGAACGGAAACUGAGUUUUCCAAAGAGCCUUCGGGCUAGUUUUCAGAAAAGAGUAAUAACUUUCUAAAUGAAGAGCCUUCGGGCUAGUUUUCAGAAAAGAGUAAUCGCUUUCUAAAUGAAGCAAGAGAAGAAACUUUGAUUUCCAAGAUAGCCUUUGAGCUAAGUUUUUGAGCACUAAUCUCAAAUCACAGAAGAAGUAUGUUUUUAAACAUAAAGAGCUAAUAUAAUAUUAUAUUUUUUGGGAGUAGUAUUGAGCACCGAUAUGGGGAUGCGAGUUCACAUUAACUCAAGUCUCCAUAAACCAUGUAGCCAUCAUAGGUAGAAAAAGGUCAUACUUUUUAGAUGAAUCCUUUUCGCAUAGACUAGUGGAUCCACUUAGUAGUUCAUGUCCUAUACCUGUGGCAAGGUAUAGGAUGUGCUGGCAGCGUGAGGAAGAUCGAUGUAUCAUCACAAUAGCUCUUAUGUGAUGAUUGUCGGUUAGAGAAACUCCCACAGUAGUAUUUUGUAUUUUUUUAUACAUCAGAUUAUUUAUAUUUUUACAUACAUCUCAGAGUUAUAUGUAUCUUUGCAUACACACAGAGUUGGCAUCAUGUUUCGGUCAAAUCGGUUCAGUUUUAUGUAUUGUUAGUUUGAUUUUUGAUUUUUAAAUCGUUAAAUUAAUAAAAAAAAAUCAAUAAAAUAUUUGUAUCAAUUUUUGAUUUAUUGAAUAAGAAAAAUGCUCAUAAAAUAAAUAUAUGACUUCUCACUUCUUUAAUAAUUUGAUGUGAUACAGUGAAACAAACAAAUCAAUUGUAAAUUCUUUGAUAUAGUGAAACACGAAAAAUAAUGAAAAAAUUGCAUCAAUAAGAACAGAUGUAGUACGAAUGCUAUAAUUAAUGUUAUAGCCAAAACAUAAUAUGAAAUCUUUUGUGUGAAGACUGUAGUGUCGAGUACUAAUAUAAUGUUUAGUUAUGUUAAAC
rnacentral:lncRNA from 1 species